rnacentral:rRNA from 1 species
AGUGAACGCUGGCGGUAGGCCUAACACAUGCAAGUCGAACGGCAGCACAGUAAGAGCUUGCUCUUACGGGUGGCGAGUGGCGGACGGGUGAGGAAUACGUCGGAAUCUACUUUUUCGUGGGGGAUAACGUAGGGAAACUUACGCUAAUACCGCAUACGACCUACGGGUGAAAGCAGGGGAUCUUCGGACCUUGCGCGAUUGAAUGAGCCGAUGUCGGAUUAGCUAGUUGGCGGGGUAAAGGCCAACCAAGGCGACGAUCCGUAGCUGGUCUGAGAGGAUGAUCAGCCACACUGGAACUGAGACACGGUCCAGACUCCUACGGGAGGCAGCAGUGGGGAAUAUUGGACAGUGGGGGCAAGCCUGAUCCAGCCAUACCGCGUGGGUGAAGAAGGCCUUCGGGUUGUAAAGCCCUUUUGUUGGGAAAGAAAAGCAGCAGGUUAAUACCCCGCUGUUCUGACGGUACCCAAAGAAUAAGCACCGGCUAACUUCGUG